rnacentral:rRNA from 1 species
CUACGGGAUGCUCCAGUGAGGAAUAUUGCACAAUGGGGGGAACCCUGAUGCAGCAACGCCGCGUGGAGGGUGACGCAUUUCGGUGUGUAAACUCCUUUUAUAUGUCAAGAAAAUGACGGUAGCAUGUGAAUAAGCACCGGCUAACUCCGUGCCAGCAGCCGCGGUAAUAGCGGAGGGUGCAAGCGUUACUCGGAAUCACUGGGCGUAAAGGACGCGUAGGCGGGUUGGAAAGUCAGGUGUGAAAUCCUACAGCUUAACUGUAGAACUGCACUUGAAACUUCUAAUCUAGAGUAUGGGAGGGGGAGAUGGAAUUAGUGGUGUAGGGGUAAAAUCCGUAGAUAUCACUAGGAAUACCUAAGGCGAAGGCGAUCUCCUGGAACAUUACUGACGCUAAGGCGUGAAAGCGUGGGGAGCAAACAGGAUUAGAUACCCCGGUAGUC